UAUAAUAAAAAGGAAGGAAAUAUUAAUUAACGAAGUGUAAGCAUGUUUAAGAGGUAUAUGGAUAAUUAAGAUUCAAAGCAAUCAUACAUUUGCAAACGUUCUCAAAUGUGAGAGUGCUCUUUCUGACCAAUUAAAAACAAUAGUAUAAACGCAUGCAAUAAAUUGCAACGGUAAUUUUUGCAACUGAUAGAAAAAUAAAUACAACAAUAUUAAUAGUAAUUAAUAUGACAAUGUAUAAUUUUCAACGGAUAACGGAUAAAAAUUAACGAUAAUAAAUUUAAUAACGGUAAUAAUUAUAAAUAGUCACCUAUUUUAUUACUUUUAUUCACAAUUAAUUUUAUUUUCAAUUUGUUUUAUCUCAUUUUAAUUAAUUUUUUCUUAUAUUGUCAAUGCAUCCCAAUCAACAUAAUGUAAAACGGUAGUAUUUCUUUUUUUUAUUUCAACUCAACAAAAACUAAUAUUUUAAAAAUGCAUCUCUUAUUCACACAAUAAUCUAAAUUUUUAAAACUCUCCACAAUUUCAACUUGAUAAAACGUAUAUGAAAAUAUUAUUGGUAGAAGAAUAACAAUUAUUGAAAAAUAUUUUUUAUAUAAUAUUUUAUUUUAUUUUGUACUAGUAAUUUAUUUUAACGUUUAUAUUCUUUUAAUAAAUUAUUUUC
rnacentral:lncRNA from 1 species